rnacentral:rRNA from 1 species
UACGUAGGGUGCAGGCGUUAAUCGGAAUUACUGGGCGUAAAGCGUGCGCAGGCGGUUUGCUAAGACAGGUGUGAAAUCCCCGGGCUUAACCUGGGAACUGCGCUUGUUACUGGCAGGCUUGAGUGUGGCAGAGGGGGGUGGAAUUCCACGUGUAGCAGUGAAAUGCGUAGAUAUGUGGAGGAACACCGAUGGCGAAGGCAGCCCCCUGGGCCAAUACUGACGCUCAUGCACGAAAGCGUGGGGAGCAAACAGG